rnacentral:rRNA from 1 species
GGGAAUCUUCCACAAUGGACGCAAGUCUGAUGGAGCAACGCCGCGUGAGUGAAGAAGAUCUUCGGAUCGUAAAACUCUGUUGUUAGAGAAGAACACGAGUGAGAGUAACUGUUCAUUCGAUGACGGUAUCUAACCAGCAAGUCACGGCUAACUACGUGCCAG